AAAAUGUAAAAUUCAGACUUACAAGGUUGGGUUGCCUCCCAACAAGCGCUUUGUUUAACGUCGUUUCGAGCUCGACGGUUCAACGGUCUUCACGAUCCGGCUUUGUUGAGCAACUUCCUCAAGGGCUUUGUUGUCUUUAAUAGGUUCUUGAUGAACCUUCGAUAAAAUCUGAUACCACCCGUUUUCGGAACUACUUGCACAACACUCA
rnacentral:lncRNA from 1 species